GUACUGUCAGGAUUCACCACUAGAGGCUUUAGAUUUAACAAGCCUUAUGAGAUUAGGAUUUUAGUUGUUACCAUUGUUUCUGAACUAAGUCUGUGUUGCGUUUUUCCUUCACAGUGGCUCAUCUGGGUUCAAGAGAGAAAGGACUCGAAGAGACCGCCUUUACAACUCCAGGGAAAGCUGUUGACACAGACUCCUGGUUCUGCUUGACAUCUUUCUUCUCAGGACUAGGGAAAAGCAAGUUACGGAGAGUCGUCAUUUAUGAACUUCACAUGAACUAUGCACCACUUCUGCUCCACCUUACCCCAGAGCAUAGCUGUUUGGCUUCUGUUUCCAAGCUUCAUUUAGAUGGAGUUGUUUGCACUUGGGAUCUAUCUGGAGAAGCUGGGAUAAGAUGUGGAAAAACAAGAACCUUCCAGAAAACAAAACAAAACAAAAACAAAAACAAAACAAAACAAAACAAAACAAAACAGGAAAGCCCCGGUUCCCCAUAAUUAUCCUGUGACUUUCACAUGUUUGUGGUGGCACGGGUGUGUAACCACACAGAACUCAUGUCAAGUUCCCAUCCUUUUUGAUCAACACCGAGAGUUAAGCAAUCAAUGGUGGAUCGGGGAAACAGCCUGUAGAAAACAGAGGAACUGAGUUUAUUGGAUAAGCGGGUUCCACGUCUCAACUUAUGAAAAACACUAGCAGCAAGGGCUCACGUCUUUUGCUUUCUUUCAUGUUAAAUGAAAUUCCAAAGUGAUUUUUAGAUGCAGCCACAACGCGACCUUAUAGAAAGAUCUUGAAAUCCGACGUAAAGACCUUUUCUAUUGGUGAAGGCAGCCAUGCGACCGAGGAAUAAAAUUACGUUCGGCUGGAAACAGGGACUGAAGCGGUUUGUCCUCCCUAAGACGUUUCUAGCAAACGCAGGAGUUGGACGGCCUUGUCUGUAAUGUGCUGACCGUCCACCUAGGGACAAUGUGACCAUUUGGUUUUUGGCUGCUAUCUGAAAUGAGUUUGAGUGUCUCAGCUCAUUUCAUGAGAAACACAAAUAAAGGCCACAUAAUAAAACAUGCAAUUUGGGAUUAUUGCCAGUCUCUAUUCAGAAGGUGCCCAGACCUCAAUUUCUGAAAACGAAAUUCUGUUCCACAUAGAUAGAAGCUCCUGGACUUCCAGACCGGCUCCAGUGGAGUCACGGGAAGGAAGAAGAGGAAAUUGUAAACCACGAGGCAUCAUGCCAGAGGAAAUGCCUCCGGUGACCCAGACUGAAUGCCCUAUGGUCUCAAAGACCCCACAUUCAAACUGCACGAUGUCUGGGUGUGCUUGACUCCAAGUCUCAGGCAGGGGCUAUCCUCUGUCUCUGCUUUUCCAUACCAUGCUCUCUGCUGUAUAUCUUCCUUAAGCUGCGUAAUAAAGAAUGAUAAGGGC
rnacentral:lncRNA from 1 species